UACGGCUACAUCACUUUGAAACAUUGGUUCCCGUACGAUCACUGAAUUUAAGCAACGUCGAUCCUGGUCAGUACGAGAUGGGUGACCGCUUUGGAAUACCAGGUGCUGUCAG